UCGGGGGUGGACAGUGGCGGACGGGUGAGUAACACGUGGGAACAUGCCUUUCGGCAAGGAACAACGCCUGGAAACGGGUGCUAAUACCUUAUACGCCCUUAGGGGGAAAGAUUUAUCGCCGAGAGAUUGGCCCGCGUUAGAUUAGCUAGUUGGUGAGGUAACGGCUCACCAAGGCGACGAUCUAUAGCUGGUUUGAGAGGAUGAUCAGCCACACUGGGACUGAGACACGGCCCAGACUCCUACGGGAGGCAGCAGUGGGGAAUAUUGGACAAUGGGGGCAACCCUGAUCCAGCGAUGCCGCGUGAGUGAUGAAGGCCUUAGGGUUGUAAAACUCUUUCAGGUGGGAAGAUAAUGACGGUACCACCAGAAGAAGCUCCGGCUAACUCCGUGCCAGCAGCCGCGGUAAUACGGAGGGAGCUAGCGUUGUUCGGAAUUACUGGGCGUAAAGCGCGCGUAGGCGGCUUAGCAAGUUGGGGGUGAAAUCCCGGGGCUUAACCUCGGAACUGCCUCCAAAACUGCUGAGCUAGAAUCCUGGAGAGGUGAGCGGAAUUCCUAGUGUAGAGGUGAAAUUCGUAGAUAUUAGGAAGAACACCAGUGGCGAAGGCGGCUCACUGGACAGGUAUUGACGCUGAGGUGCGAAAGCGUGGGGAGCGAACAGGAUUAGAUACCCUGGUAGUCCACG
rnacentral:rRNA from 1 species